rnacentral:rRNA from 1 species
UACGGAGGGUGCGAGCGUUGUCCGGAAUCACUGGGCGUAAAGGGCGCGUAGGCGGCUGGGGAAGUCGGCGGUGAAAGCCCGGAGCUCAACUCCGGGUCGGCCGUCGAGACUCCUCGGCUCGAGCUCACUAGAGGCAGAUGGAAUUCCGGGUGUAGCGGUGGAAUGCGUAGAGAUCCGGAGGAAGACCGGUGGCGAAGGCGGUCUGCUGGGCAGUUUCUGACACUGAGGCGCGACAGCGUGGGGAGCAAACAGG